CCUCACCCCAGGCGUAAGCUUGAGAGAGGCAGUUUGUUUUUGGUGCUAAUGCUGUUUUCUCCAAUGCCCCAUUUCCAUUUUUUCUUCUGCCUCAGAUUUCAACACUUCCAUGUCCUAGGUGUCAAAGGAUAUUUCAACAGUGUUUGUAUGUCAUGGCGCCAUUUUCUUCACUUCUGUGAUUGAAGAGAGAAGUGAUGCCAAAUGAGAACUUCAGUUCAAAAAGAAAGAAAGGUUGCAGCAAGCACAAUCAAGAACAUCAAAGGAGAGAGAGACCUGUAUCGCUCAGCGGAUACCAUCAUCCAGGACAGAAAAGAGUAUCUUCUGCCUUUCCACCCAUCUACUUCUUCAAGCUAUAAAAACUGCAGUGGGGGAGCCAGGCCACUGAACUCAUGAGGCCCAUUAGGGUGGGCCCUUAACCAAUAGGUCUCCUGUCCUUAUAAAAAUGGGAAGUUUGGACACAGACAUGCAGAGAAUGUGAAGUAAAGAUGAAGGCAGAGAUCACAGUGAUGCUGUUAUGAGCCAAGGAAUGCCACAGACUGCCAGCAAACCACAAGAAGGAAGCUACUGAAAAGCUUGAAACAGAAGAAUGGACUAAAAGCUCUGGAUGUUUCGCAAAGAACUGAAUACAGGUGGAUAAAGUGGAAGCAGGGUGACCAGCAAACAGUCCAGGUUACUGCAGAUAGUCAAGCCAGGAAGUGAUCCGUUUUCUACCUGGCUUUUAAUUCUUUCCCUUCCCUCUCCCCUUUAAAGAUUCUUAUCCUUUCUUGAAGACAGGCUGAGCACUCAAAGAACUUAUUCAACUCAUAGAAUUUCCAGGUGUUUGAAUCAACCGUUUGGGGUGAGUAGGAUUAACCACAUACUGUUAGCACAGUGUUCAGAGGCCAGGUAAGAUUCUUAAGGGUCACAGUGAGAAAAGGGAAUUUCCUUUGUAAGAACAUGGGAAACCCAGAGCAACUGAGGCAGUCAGUCAACAUCUGCUGGGAAAUAAAACUUGAAUAUAAAGAAGACAAAGUCCAAACACCAAUUUCAGAGAUUAGAGGUAUUGGUACUUAAAUCUUACAAACAUUAUAAUAAAAAAUGUGCAUUCCCCACUGUUCCUGCUUGUUGUGCCCACUGAAGGAGCUGGGUGGACUA